rnacentral:rRNA from 1 species
CGAGCGGACAGAUGGGAGCUUGCUCCCUGAUGUUAGCGGCGGACGGGUGAGUAACACGUGGGUAACCUGCCUGUAAGACUGGGAUAACUCCGGGAAACCGGGGCUAAUACCGGAUGGUUGUUUGAACCGCAUGGUUCAAACAUAAAAGGUGGCUUCGGCUACCACUUACAGAUGGACCCGCGGCGCAUUAGCUAGUUGGUGAGGUAACGGCUCACCAAGGCAACGAUGCGUAGCCGACCUGAGAGGGUGAUCGGCCACACUGGGACUGAGACACGGCCCAGACUCCUACGGGAGGCAGCAGUAGGGAAUCUUCCGCAAUGGACGAAAGUCUGACGGAGCAACGCCGCGUGAGUGAUGAAGGUUUUCGGAUCGUAAAGCUCUGUUGUUAGGGAAGAACAAGUACCGUUCGAAUAGGGCGGUACCUUGACGGUACCUAACCAGAAAGCCACGGCUAACUACGUGCCAGCAGCCGCGGUAAUACGUAGGUGGCAAGCGUUGUCCGGAAUUAUUGGGCGUAAAGGGCUCGCAGGCGGUUUCUUAAGUCUGAUGUGAAAGCCCCCGGCUCAACCGGGGAGGGUCAUUGGAAACUGGGGAACUUGAGUGCAGAAGAGGAGAGUGGAAUUCCACGUGUAGCGGUGAAAUGCGUAGAGAUGUGGAGGAACACCAGUGGCGAAGGCGACUCUCUGGUCUGUAACUGACGCUGAGGAGCGAAAGCGUGGGGAGCGAACAGGAUUAGAUACCCUGGUAGUCCACGCCGUAAACGAUGAGUGCUAAGUGUUAGGGGGUUUCCGCCCCUUAGUGCUGCAGCUAACGCAUUAAGCACUCCGCCUGGGGAGUACGGUCGCAAGACUGAAACUCAAAGGAAUUGACGGGGGCCCGCACAAGCGG